AAACAACCUGGCCCCCCCGCCUCCUCCUGACGUCCCCUUAUCCUUUGGCAUGGAAGGCUGAGAAAGCCGACAUCCUGCCAGCAUCACUGUAGCAGCAACAGCCCUGCACAAAGCACUACAACACAUUUUUGGGGGUUAAAACAGAAAAGGAGCAGGGGAAACAAAUAAAAUAAAUAUUUUUUAAAAAAGCUGUUCUAUCCCUUUUGAUUUUGAUGGUACCUACUAGAAUUACUACCUCAAAGCACUAGAUAUGAGCCUAGCAGGACAAUUCCAGCAAGUCCUUCAGCCCCUCAGUCUGUUCAGGACAGAAGCACUGUUAUCAAAGCUAUCCUCGAACAGGUAUUAGGGUCAGGCUCUUUCCAUAAGGCUCACCAAAAUCUGUGCCUACGCCUGUAGCCGGGAAUGACGUUCAACCCAGUGUAAAAUCUCUUCAUUUUUCCUUUUCGAAUACGCAGCUACUACGAAAUUCACACCCCUCCUCCGGGAAAAACGAAACGCGAAGACUGAAAGUGCACGAUCUUCCCAGAAAGAGGGUAAGGUCUGACUGACUUGCGCUCGGGGGAGACCCCCAGAGCUCCCCUGGGACCGCCCCCGCCGGGAGGCACGGCCGGGCCGCCCGAAGAGGCUGGGGCAGGGGUCGCGGCACGCAGCCCCCCCGCGGCCGCCGCGGGACCAGCCCCACGCCCCGUCCCGAGUGCGGUCGGGGCGAGCGGUGCGACAGCGACGGACCCUCGGCGUGCUAGGCCUUAUUAAAAUACUGCUCAGAUGACAUACGAAUAAGCCAGAACAAUCCUCCUCCAAUUGAAUAAAAACAUUCUCCCAGCACACAGAAGCAAGAACUAAACUUCAGCCAUUUCCUCUCAUUGAGGCUUGACUUUGAGAAGGAGACAAGGCUGUAUGGGCCUGCUAUCAGGAGGGCAAGAAGGCUCUGUGAGAAGGUGGACCACAGAUGUUCCCUUCUUGUCUACCAUCAGCCUUCCCAUCACACUUCUGAGCAAUGGUGGUCUUGGGAAAGAUACUCUCUGGGUUUACCAAUCUCCUGGAGCUGAUGAACACAGCAGAAGGAGGGUGAGAUCCAUGGGUGGAACCACGCCACUUUUCUCAGACAAAGAGCUGGCCACAGAGUGUGUUUCAAAACAGAUUAACAAAAACAACAGCUACACACCAUGACAAAGUGCAUGUGGUGGAAAUAAAAAUAUUUACCCACAGAUUAUCACAGAUCUAGCAAUGUGACUACCGUGCAUCUAGGACCAAAGGAUUCAAAAUAGUGACUGUAUGUUUAGAGCUAAUUAGGGAAUCUGGUAGGGUUGGUCCGAAGGACCACUUUUUAAUCUUCUAAGAGUACAGUUGUCAUUUCUUCACCUCUCCUACCUCAGGGUGGUGAAAUAACAGUCUUUUCAUACCUAUGUGUUGGGUGGGGGAGGGAAGAAUUCCUCUGCUAUUAAACACAACUUCUCAUUAAAUAGUUGACACCUUAUCCUUCUUUAAAUGUUGUAAUGUUUACUUUGCAAAACCCAGGAAAGCUUUUAAAAUAAAGAUAGCAGAGAGAUUCUUAA